UACAGAGGGUGCGAGCGUUGUCCGGAAUCACUGGGCGUAAAGGGCGCGUAGGCGGUCUCUUAAGCGUGUGGUGAAAGCCCGGGGCUCAACCCCGGGUCUGCCGUGCGAACUGGGGGACUGGAGCCGAUCAGAGGCAGGCGGAAUUCCGGGUGUAGCGGUGGAAUGCGUAGAGAUCCGGAAGAACACCGGUGGCGAAGGCGGCCUGCUGGGAUCGAGCUGACGCUGAGGCGCGACAGCGUGGGGAGCAAACAGG
rnacentral:rRNA from 1 species